rnacentral:rRNA from 1 species
AUUGAACGCUGGCGGCAGGCCUAAUACAUGCAAGUCGAACGGGUGGCGGAGGGGCGAGUAAUGUCGGGGAAACUGCGUGAUGGAGGGGGAAAAGUAGGGUAAAAGGUGGCUAAUAGCGCAAACCAUCGGAUGGGGUCAGAGGGGAUUAUCUAGUCGGUGGGGUAAAGGUACACCUAGGCGACGAUCCCUAGCUGGGCUGAGAGGAUGAGCAGCCACACUGGAACUGAGACACGGCCCAGACUCCUACGGGAGGCAGCAGUGGGGAAUAUUGCACAAUGGGCGAAAGCCUGAUGCAGCCAUGCCGCGUGUAUGAAGAAGGCUUUCGGGUUGUAAAGUACUUUCAGUGGGGAAGCGGUACCCAAAGAGAAAGCACCGGCUAACUCCGUGCCAGCAGCCGCGGUAAUUC